AACGAACGCUGGCGGCAUGCCUAACACAUGCAAGUCGAACGAGAACUUCGGGUCUAGUGGCGCACGGGUGCGUAACGCGUGGGAACCUGCCCUUAGGUUCGGAAUAACUCCCCGAAAGGGGUGCACAUCUCGGAUAAUGUCUUCAGACCAAAGAUUUUUCUCCUUUGGAUGGGCCCGCGUUGGAUUAGCUAGUUGGUAGGGUAAAAGCCUACCAAGGCGACGAUCCAUAGCUGGUCUGAGAGGAUGAUCAGCCACACUGGGACUGAGACACGGCCCAGACUCCUGCGGGAGGCAGCAGUGGGGAAUAUUGGACAAUGGGCGAAAGGCUGAACCAGCAAUGCCGCGUGAGUGAUGAAGGCCGGAGGGUUGUAAAGCUCUUUUACCCGUGAUGAUAAUGACAGUACCGGGAGAAUAAGCUCCGGCUAACUCCGUG
rnacentral:rRNA from 1 species